GUUAAAUAAAGAAGGGCGAAGUUGAAAAAACCAAAACCCUUUGCACCUACGAAGUGUGUGUUAGCGAGUGAAGCCCUAGACUGCACACACAUACUCCCUCCAAUGGCGGUUGUUGCGCAAACCCCUGACAUCGCCGGCGAGCGACAGUCCGGCCAAGACGUUCGCACACAAAACGUGGUGGCGUGCCAAGCCGUUGCCAACAUCGUCAAAAGCUCGUUAGGUCCCGUUGGUCUCGACAAGAUGCUCGUCGACGACAUUGGCGACGUCACGAUCACCAACGACGGUGCUACGAUUCUCAAGAUGUUGGAAGUGGAGCAUCCUGCUGCCAAGGUUUUGGUGGAACUUGCCGAGCUUCAAGACAGGGAAGUAGGAGAUGGUACUACCUCUGUCGUCAUUGUAGCCGCUGAACUUCUCAAAAGGGCAAAUGAUCUUGUCAGGAACAAGAUUCAUCCUACCUCGAUCAUCAGUGGAUAUAGACUUGCUAUGCGGGAGGCCUGUAAAUAUGUAGAAGAAAAACUGUCUGUCAAGGUUGAAAAGCUUGGAAAGGAUUCACUAAUUAACUGUGCCAAGACCAGUAUGUCCUCAAAGUUGAUUGCUGGUGAUAGUGACUUCUUUGCCAAUUUGGUUGUAGAUGCUGUGCAAUCUGUUAAGAUGACCAAUGCUCGAGGUGAAGUUAAGUACCCAAUUAAGGGAAUUAAUAUCUUGAAAGCCCAUGGAAAAAGUGCUAGAGACAGUUUUCUGAUGAAUGGUUAUGCUCUAAAUACUGGCCGUGCUGCACAAGGAAUGCCUCUUAGGGUUGCCCCUGCAAAAAUUGCGUGUCUUGAUUUCAAUCUACAGAAGACAAAAAUGCAAUUGGGUGUUCAAGUUUUAGUCACUGAUCCUAGGGAGCUAGAGAAAAUUCGUCAAAGAGAGGCUGAUAUGACUAAGGAACGGAUUGAAAAGCUAUUGAAAGCGGGAGCUAAUGUUGUUAUGACUACUAAAGGAAUUGAUGACAUGGCACUUAAGUACUUUGUUGAGGCUGGGGCAAUUGCUGUAAGACGUGUACGGAAAGAGGAUAUGCGUCACGUUGCCAAAGCUACUGGUGCAACAUUGGUCUCAACAUUUGCUGAUAUGGAAGGAGAGGAAACAUUUGAACCAUCUUUUCUUGGAUCUGCUGAUGAGGUUGUUGAGGAAAGAAUAUCUGAUGAUGCUGUAGUUAUGAUCAAAGGGACCAAAACUACAAGUGCAGUAUCUUUGAUUUUAAGAGGUGCAAAUGACCAUAUGCUUGAUGAGAUGGAUAGAGCUCUGCAUGAUGCGCUGUCGAUUGUCAAGAGAACUCUUGAAUCAAACAUGGUGGUAGCUGGUGGAGGUGCAGUUGAAGCAGCUUUGUCAGUUUAUUUGGAGUACCUUGCUACAACUUUAGGGUCUCGGGAGCAGUUGGCUAUAGCAGAAUUUGCCGAGUCUCUGUUAAUCAUUCCAAAGGUGCUUUCGGUUAAUGCUGCUAAGGAUGCUACUGAGCUGGUUGCAAAAUUACGGGCCUACCACCAUUCAGCGCAAACUAAAGCUGAUAAGAAACAUUUAUCAAGCAUGGGUCUGGACCUUUCUGAAGGGAAAAUCAGAAACAACUUGGAGGCUGGAGUCAUUGAGCCUGCAAUGAGCAAAGUCAAAAUUAUUCAGUUUGCCACAGAAGCUGCCAUUACUAUCCUACGAAUUGAUGACAUGAUCAAGCUUGUCAAGGAAGAAAGUCAAAAUGAAGAUUAGUGUUAUUGAAUUUAGAAAGCGUGUACUUCCCGGUUCUUACAAAAAGGGAGGCUUUUGCAGGUUGUGCUGGUGUGCAUUCGAAGAGGGUAUCUGCAUUUUAUCUUCAAUGCCCUUGUUCUUGAAGAGAAAAUGUUAUAAUUGAUUUUAUUAAAGUAGCGUUAAUUAUAUUUAACUAUAACUAGCAGUUUAUCUUCCUACAAAUUUUAGGCACACAUUUUUGGUCAUGCAUUGGCUGGUUGCAUGUUUGUACAUCUGAGGCAGUGUUUGGUUUCUGGAAUUUUGAUGUUUUAUUGGUAGUAAUUAGUUUUUAAUGUAUGAACUAAAUACGUGUGCAAA